rnacentral:rRNA from 1 species
GUGCCAGCAGCCGCGGUAAUACGUAGGGUGCGGGGCCGUUGUCCGGAAUUAUUGGGCGUAAAGAGCUUGUAGGCGGUCUGUCGCGUCUGCUGUGAAAAUCCGGGGCUCAACCCCGGACUUGCAGUGGGUACGGGCAGACUAGAGUGUGGUAGGGGAGACUGGAAUUCCUGGUGUAGCGGUGAAAUGCGCAGAUAUCAGGAGGAACACCGAUGGCGAAGGCAGGUCUCUGGGCCAUAACUGACGCUGAGAAGCGAAAGCAUGGGGAGCGAACAGGAUUAGAUACCCUGGUAGUCC